rnacentral:rRNA from 1 species
GACAGAGGCCCCAAGCGUUAGGCGGAAUCACUGGGCUUAAAGCGUGUGUAGGCGGACGCCUAAGUGUCUUGUGAAAUCCCACGGCUCACCCGUGGAACUGCUGGGCAUACUGGGCGUCUUGGGCCAACUAGGGGCAGCCGGAACAAGCGGUGGAGCGGUGAAAUGCGUAGAUAUCGCUUGGAACGCCGAAGGUGAAAACAGGCUGCUGGGGUUGUGCCGACGCUGAGACACGAAGGCCAGGGGAGCAAACGGG